AAUUAAUAGCAAAAUGUUAGAAGCUCAAGAAAAAAAAAAAUACUGCUUCCAUCUGGUGUGCCGUAGGGUUUUGCCAAGAAGAUCUGCAGUCAGGACUCUAACACACAAGGAGCCUAAUUGUUUCCCAUUGUUCACUGGGGAAUCCAUUUGCUGUUCAUUUAAAUUGAUCGGUCCCAAGUCAACCAAGGACAGUGGGCUGUGCUGACCCGACCAUCUGGACUCUGUCUCUCUCCACGGCUUCCUGUGAAUCAUCCACCAACGUCUUGUUUAUCAAGACAAGGAUCACAUCAAAAUAAGGAUUGGCACUUUUACAACUUUAGGUAAACUGCACAUAAAGUGCAGAAAGUUACCGGAGGAAGGAGAAAGGAGUCGCUCGAGGCAUUAUUGAUAAACAAUCUGAGGAGAGAAAUGGGUUGGAGAUGGAGAUCUGAAGAGAUGCUAUGCAUGGGCUUCCUUCAAAACGACCUCUAAGUGGAGUGGUCUCAGGUCACAGAGAUGAAGAUAAGGAUGAGAGAGAAGACAGUGGUUGCGUCUCAAAUGCCAUCCUAUCCCCUGCACUACUUUUUAACCAGGGCCCAUAGGGCUCCUAUGGUCAAUGUAGUGCACUAUAUAGAGAAUCAGGGUGCCAUUUGGGAGGCAACCAGUGAGUGCACUGAGCUGACCAGGCAAAAACAGAUUACCGUGGCUUGCCAGUGGCCUUGAACAGAGAAUUAUACUGUGAAGUAUUUGAAAGCCCCAUAACAGUCGACAAGAAGCUCCAAACCCCGACGAGUUAGUGUUGUAAGUCAACCCUCUUGCAAUUAACCAGCUGUUUCACGACACAACAUUUCGAUGAAUUGUCUUUGAAGCAUGGUACAGCGGGGAGAGAAAAAAAAACACCCUGUUCAAACAUCGCCAUCUUGUGUUAAAAGAUCAUACCGUCCUCUGAGCUGGCGCUGCAUCUUGCUGCUGAUUUAGUAUCUUUAAAAAAAAGUUUUAACAUGGAAAGGGGGAACCUGAUCCUAGUUAAGCCCAGCUACUCUGAGACGCUUGGUACAUACAGCCCCGGGACUCGAUAAAAUUGAACCAUAUAUAAUAAACACUCAACAAGAAGGCUGUGUUCUAACAGAGAAAUCAACAUUUGAUUGCGGACAUAGGCUAAACAGCAUUAGAAAAUUCCCGUACGGAGUGUUGGCAAACAAAAGUGUUUAUUGACAAUGGAGGGACUGUCCUGAAGCCUGUUUUCUGUUGAACCGGCAUUGCCAAGUCAACCUAAAACAGCAGGUUCCUCAAUCACUCCCCGACCAAGCAGCAAUUCUUUUUUUUUACUGUGAAGGAUAACAAGGUCUACUUUUACUACACAGAGAGUUCAUCCGGACAAAGUAAUGAUACACUGAAGGUAAUUGCGUUACUCACGUACUCUAUUGCCACCUACCUUGGUGGGCCCCUCUCAGUCAGUCCACCGGGCAGACAACAGCUGAACUUCCAUCUCCAGCGGCACGUCUCUCUCGUAAAUAUCAUUGCUUCAUCCAAACACUGUGCUCACACAUGACUAGAACAGAGGUUUACACUAUGUGGGUUAUAAUUAGACUGAUUACGAUCAGAUCAAACCUCACACAACGCUUGGGAAUAGAGUCGAGAGCAUCUCAGUGAAGAUCAAGAGAGGUUCACAGAACAUUAUGGGUGUUACAUAACCUAUAACAGUUACUCUUGCUCUUACUCUCUCCUUUGUUCCUGGUCAAGAUUCAAGCUGACUGACAACAGAGAACGAUCUCCCCAAUGAAAGGAGCCAACAAGAAGAGAUUCACAUCUAAGUCGUGAUAACUGGCUUUCAAUAGUUCUCAUGUGAACAGUUACACUCUGUGACAAACCUGCAUCCCAUAUCGCACACUAUUCCCCAUUUAGUGCAUUACUUUUGACCAGAGCUAUGUGGCCCCUGGUCAAAAGUAGGGCUGUAAAUAGGGAAUAGGUUGCCAUUUGGGACAUUGCCAAAGGUUCCAGUAUCUAGAAUAUGCACCUUUAAUGAGAACCUCUAAGCUCAGUGACUAGACCACCGGGAGUUCAUUCAUCAUUGCCCUUAUGAUAGUCAGACAUUACCCCAGGAGGAGUCAUAUUGGUCUGAUUGAUCCAAGGAAAUGUGUCUGCCUCAUGACAUAUAGCCACUUAGAGUGGCAGGCCUUCAUUAACAUCUCUGUGUGUUUUACAAUCAACGGGCAAAGGCAGACACAUAUCCGAAUACACCGCAUUCCUCAGGGCACUGUUCGGAGGGAGACGUGGAAAAGUACACCUCUCCAUUGAAAGACGGCAGGCAGGCAGGCAGAGAGAGGCAGCCACAAUAAUACCAGGGCUUCUAUAAAUCUAUCCACUGUCUAUGCAGUUCCUCUGGCUUUACCCACGCUGAACCGUAGCAGCUUGAGGAGAGAGCGCUCCUGGCGCUUUCCCUGUCUGUGGCCUACCUCUGUAUUAAACACUGCUGGCUCCACUGAAACGUGAAUUCCUGGAAAAAAUGAACUUGUGUCAACUUGCAAGGCUCAAACUAAUACAGCAGGAUUUUUUUUUUUUUUUUACAUCAUAAAUAACUCAAAACAACACAUUUUUUUGUUGGGUGGCAAAAUGAUAUAGUUGAAGCAGAAGUGUUGAAAAUAUAUCUUCCAGAAUGGUCAUUGGAAGGGAGUGAGGUGAAACCCUCCACCCUGACCCAGUAUGAAGACAAUUAAUAUGAAUAACACUUACACAAUGUGUUGAAGGUCAACGGAAGGCAAAAGUAACAUACGUUUCUAUUAAUCUACCCGUUUACAAAGGGUUAUGCAUUUAAAUCUCUGCUUUGUCUUGGUCUAACAAAGAAAGGCACUAAAACGAGACAAAAAAUGACAUUUGAAUUCAUUUCUACAUAGA
rnacentral:lncRNA from 1 species